AGCUAGCAUGGUAUAGUGGUUUGAACACUGGACUAUAACUCUGGAGAUCAGGGUUUGAUUCCCCGUUUGGCCA